GAUGAAGAACGUAGCGAAAUGCGAUAAGUAAUGUGAAUUGCAGAAUUCAGUGAAUCAUCGAAUCUUUGAACGCACAUUGCGCCCGCCAGCAUUCUGGCGGGCAUGCCUGUCUGAGCGUCAUUUCAACCCUCAUGCCCCUAGGGCGUGGUGUUGGGGAUCGGCCAAAGCCCGCGAGGGACGGCCGGCCCCUAAAUCUAGUGGCGGACCCGUCGUGGCCUCCUCUGCGAAGUAGUGAUAUUCCGCAUCGGAGAGCGAUGAGCCCCUGCCGUUAAACCCCCAACUUUCCAAGGUUGACCUCAGAUCAGGUAGGAAUACCCGCUGAACUUAAGCAUAUCAAUAAGCGGAGGA
rnacentral:misc_RNA from 1 species